rnacentral:rRNA from 1 species
GUUAAGCGACUAAGCGUACACGGUGGAUGCCCUGGCAGUCAGAGGCGAUGAAGGACGUGCUAAUCUGCGAUAAGCGUCGGUAAGGUGAUAUGAACCGUUAUAACCGGCGAUUUCCGAAUGGGGAAACCCAGUGUGAUUCGUCACACUAUCAUUAACUGAAUCCAUAGGUUAAUGAGGCGAACCGGGGGAACUGAAACAUCUAAGUACCCCGAGGAAAAGAAAUCAACCGAGAUUCCCCCAGUAGCGGCGAGCGAACGGGGAGCAGCCCAGAGCCUGAAUCAGUGUGUGUGUUAGUGGAAGCGUCUGGAAAGGCGCGCGAUACAGGGUGACAGCCCCGUACACAAAAAUGCACAUGCUGUGAGCUCGAUGAGUAGGGCGGGACACGUGGUAUCCUGUCUGAAUAUGGGGGGACCAUCCUCCAAGGCUAAAUACUCCUGACUGACCGAUAGUGAACCAGUACCGUGAGGGAAAGGCGAAAAGAACCCCGGCGAGGGGAGUGAAAAAGAACCUGAAACCGUGUACGUACAAGCAGUGGGAGCACGCUUAGGCGUGUGACUGCGUACCUUUUGUAUAAUGGGUCAGCGACUUAUAUUCUGUAGCAAGGUUAACCGAAUAGGGGAGCCGAAGGGAAACCGAGUCUUAACUGGGCGUUAAGUUGCAGGGUAUAGACCCGAAACCCGGUGAUCUAGCCAUGGGCAGGUUGAAGGUUGGGUAACACUAACUGGAGGACCGAACCGACUAAUGUUGAAAAAUUAGCGGAUGACUUGUGGCUG